CGUCCGGGGAAACUGGGCCUCUGUUGCUGUCGUCCUUGUUGUCGCUCUUGAGUUUCAGGGAACUCGACCUCUGGGUUUCCGCCAAGGUAAAAUACCUGCCAACACAAUUUACAUGUGAUUAAUUGAGUUGAAAAUUUUAUAAACAUUUGUAAACUGUAUAAAGGUUUUAUAAGUCUCUGCAACAGCAUCAUAAAAGUAAAAUCUAUAACACAUAAUUUAAUGUAUAGUUAUACUUAUACUUACUCUGGGGGUUGAAUCGAGCUGGUUUACAAAGCUGGAGGUGUCGAGAAGACUAAUAGCAACAAUAGGUUCUUGACCAUGGUUAUAGGUCCAGUAAGGAGUUCCAGCUGGAAUGGCAAUGACAUCACCUCUGUAGAAGCGACGAAUCUUCUGGUGGCUGUCAGGUUGCUGCUGCUGUUGUUCCUGAUGCCUGGAUCCUUGUCUAGACCGUGAUGAUUGUGGCUGUUCAAAAGUCUCAGGACAACCAGGAACUGAAAGUCCAAGCACUCCCUUUCCUGUACAUAUAGAACAAAAUUCAGUCACAAAACAAUUUAAUGCAUGCAUUAUAUAGAAUACUUAGCAAUUAAUAUACUUAAUCAUCAUUAUGUUAAUAUAGAAUAGUUACCUUGGAUGAUGAAAAUCAACUGUGGAGAAGGUGAGUAUGAUGGCAAGUGAAGGCCAUUAGGGUCAAUGGUGCGUCUGAUAAGAGAGACACCGGCACAUUGUAGCUCAGGGUGGUUUGGAUUCCAUGUCUCAGUGAGACCAGCUUCAUGCUCAACACGGUGGUCUGGUUCCAAUGCAUUGAUAUUGUUCAGCUGGCAUUGGUUGAACCUUUCAUACUCAGAGCGUGUAGCUAAACAUGUAAAAAGCAGCAAGGAAAGAGAAAGCAAAGAUAGAGAGAACUUCCUCAUUGUGUUUGUGAGUUUGGUGAAUGAAUUGGUGAAGAGAAGAACCUGUGGAGUGGUGAUUUAUAGUAAGAAGAGAAGAGUGAGGAAGGGACACGUCACACAGUGUAGGUUGCUAGUUCAUGACAUUCUUCACCAUGCAUGCCUAUGAAUUCUUAAUUUCCUACACAUCACAUUAAGAUAUAUGUGCACAGAGACAUCACAGAGUGUAUAUUUGUUGGUAUCUUUACAUAUGGAAUCAUGACUGCAGUUAAAUGAAUGAGAACAAAUGUAUAUGGCAUGGGAUGGUCCCAUGCAUUCUGCGUCGAUUCUUUACAUGUUGAUAUCAUUACUUCUUUUUCACUUUACUUAAUUCAUUUACAGUUUUCAUUAAGCAGUAACAGUGUUGCUCAGACUCAAAUAUAUAGAUGUAUGUAGUGAUUAAAGUAGAAAUUCUAGCUUAAUAGUACCUCUCUUUGUUAUUAUCAAUCUGUAGCCUUCGCAACAGAAACAGCAUAACUUAAGCGUAAAACAUUUUUACUCAUGCAUCAAAAUAGAAAUAUUUUAAAAUCUAACUUAUAAAAGUAUGAUAUAGUUUGAUUGCAUGCGUUUGUAAAAAAUUUUUUUUACACCAUCAGUGCAUAUAUAACUUAAUCUCUUAAAAUUUAUGCUCUGAAAGUUCAGUAUUUACCUUCCAGUUGUUUGAAUUCAAGUAAGCUCUAGAGAAUUCAGGUUGAUUGUUGUCAUUGAUGUUUAAAUCAAUGCAGUGCAUUUGGUGCAUAUUUGGAUUCCCUUUUGUAAGAUCCAAAAAUAUUCUAGACACAUAAAUUAAAAUUGCUUGAUAUAUUUAAGCGUUCUAUAAAAUAAAUUCUAGCUCAAAUAUGUAAUUAGAUGUUUUGCCUCUUUAUAAGAUUUUUAACUUCAAAUUAUUGUUGAACACAUUUAUGUAAAUGUAUAUAAACAUAGACCAAUGUACAUUCAACUCAUGACUUUAAAGUUUUAACUAAAAUUCAUUUUCACCACCACAAAACCAAACAUGCUAGAAAAUACUGGGUGGACUCACCAGAUGUACAUAGAUGUAUAAAAUAAAAUUCAAAAACUCAAUUUCUAACAUACCUUUACCUUUAAAAACACAUGAUAAUCCAAAAAUUUCCAUGUCUACAUUUUUGUGUCCUUUCUGCACUCACUGCAUACUAAUUUCUAUUCAAAACUAUAAGACAACUGAACAAAUAUAUGUAAAUAAAAAAACAACCUUCUACGUGUAUUGUUGUUGCUUCUCCUGUUGUUUUAAUCUAUUUGCAACUGUAUCAGGACUAAACUCAUGUUCAUUCUCUUCUUCGUCAUGUUCCGAACAAACCUCUUGCAACAAUUCAUCCACCUCCCUUACAAAGUUCACUCUUAAUAGAGUAUUAUCAUCAGAGUUCAAGUGGUGGUCGCAAUGGCCUGUGAUGCUGAUAGCAUACAACAUUGAAAACAAAAAAAUUAUGAUUCAAGCAGAUAUCAAGUCUAACAUAUGAUUUUCAGUUUAGAUGGUAUCUGUACCAUCCUACUUUUAUGUUUUAACUAAACUUAAGUGCAAAAUAAAUUACCAAUUACGUUUAAUCACUUAAUAUCAACCGAUAAAUACAUAAACUUGAAUCAAGUUUACCAACUUAUAUCAAUGGUUGAUUUCAAUUUUUACUGUGAACUUAUUUUUGUUAACCAUUGAUUAAUUAGUUAUUUAAAUAUAGAUUUGUAUGUCGAACUAAGGUAUCAGUUAUUAUAGAGAAAGAGACACAAACUAAUAGGAGCUAAUGUACAUCAAUUGUCUAAGAUCCAGUCCUUUUAAUUUGGUGCAACUUACCUUAUCUAUUGAGGCAAUCUCAUUGCAGGGGUAGCCUCUCGUUUGAAAAUCUCAGUCUGUUAUAUGCAAAUUUUUAAUAACAAAGUUUCGAGCGAACUAGGUUCAUUUUUUUCAAAGAUCGAGAACAAGCCAGAAGUUCGAAGACUGCUAUUUCGAAGAUUUUCAAAAAUCAACGUCUAGGGUUAUUCGAAAGUCCAAGUUACACAACUUCUAUAAACUUUCAUAUCAACUAUGUUCAGGAAGUCUUUUGAGCAAUCAGUUAUAUGCUUCUCCGAGUCAAAAAUUCAAAUAUGAAAGAAGAAACUUGCAGAAGGCUCUUGGAAGUUAGAAGACACGUGACAUCCACACAUGUUACAGAUUAAUUUAUUUCUUAGUCCAUAAAUUGUAUAAUCAAACUCCAUGUAAAUGAGUUCAUUUAUAUUCCACAACACUAUGUCUAAUAGACAGCGCAUCUGCCCUCACGGGAUAACUUCUUACUGACAAUAUUGAAUCAUUGAUGUAUGAAACAUUCAAACCUAUUAAUAUAUUUUUCUUUUUGCAUACUUAGUGCCUUUACCAUUUUUUGUGUCCAUUCAUUUAUUCGAUUUCUAACUAUGCACUAGUUAUUUGAUGCGGAAACUAGAUAUAGUGCUACUGGAAAGCUAUGUUAAGCUUUAUAUUACUCCAGCACAACUGAAAUAUUACCUGAAACCUUUCAAGGUGAUUGUAAUUUCUUAUUAGGAUGUAAUAGAACACUUGUUAUCAAAAACCUUUUCUGCAUAGUAGAGUGGGCAAAUGAGCACUAGCGUUAACUGAACUUUCAUUGACUUUUGUUUCGUUAAAAGCAAUGAAAGCCAAAGUAAUUGUUGAUUUCUUUGCUAACUAUUUUGUUGAUAGUGAUGAUGAUUUCGAACAAGAAUACAUAUGUUUGAAUCCUUGGAAACUAUAUUUUGAUGUUUCAUGCCAUGGUAAAGGUAGUAGAAAUUGAGAUGUUGAUAAUUCAACCUGAUGAGGUAUAUCCAACUAAAUUCAUGUACAAAUUAUCGAUCAAAUGUUUGAAUAAUGAAGCAUUUAUAUUUCAACCUAAAAAAUGUUUUCAAUAAUAAUAAUACCAAAUAGUUUUUUUUCUUCUUUCUAUUUCAACUUUUUCCAAUUUGUGAGUGUGCCUAAACCAUUUAUAUUUAUGGUUGUGACCAUACAAGCAUUACUCAACCCAUAUAUACAUAACAUAUGAGAAAAUAUUCAAUCUCCUCCCGUUCUCUCAUAUUGUCGCCAAAUUGUCCAAUUUUCUAACAUUCUUGUCUUUUCUUAUCAUUCAUAUAUUGGAUCCAAACAAAACAAUUAACUUUGCUACCGGCAUUAAUCAAAUAAAAAAUGAAUGUUUUGAGGACAACAUGCAGAAGAAGAACAAGAAGUCGUUCGCUUAGUAUACAAGUAAAGAACAACAUGCAGAUAGGAAUGACUUUAUGAACUUUUAUCUUGUUUUUAUGGGUGUGAUUUAAAUGCUAAAAGUCAAAACUCACCAUAAACGAUGAAGAUGACGAAGAAGAAAGUUUAGAAAAAUGUGUCUGCAUUUUUUUUUAUCAUAAUUGGAAGGUGUAUUACUGGCAUGAAUGCAGCCUAUAGUGUUAUUCACCACUUGUACAUACAUGUAUACUAGUAGUUUAGAUUAAGAUCCUGGUUAGAGAUAUCGUCUACAAGAUAUAAAUAAUGUUCAAGUGAAGAAUAAAAUUGUAAUUAAAAGCAAAGCAAAUACUACGUCAAAACUUGGGUAUUCAUUAUAUUGAUUAUUUCAAGAACUGAAGUUCUUGGCUACAGUACACCCAAAUUUAUUUUAUAAUUAUUUCAAGACAAGCCACCUCAUAUUGCAUUGCAUAGCAUGCAUUGUUUUAUUGAGAUUGUGAUUGUUUUACUAAGAUUGUGGUUGAGAUUGAGGAUGAACCAAAGGACCACGGUUUCCACUGAACUUGAUUUGAGUGACAUCACGUGGACGAAGGCCGAAAGCAUUUUCAAGAACCUCGCGAGGGGUGGCCCUGAACACCUGCUUCACAUGGUUAACAGCAGCUAGGUCGUUUGUCUUGAAAACCACAUACUCUAAUGCUUCUUCGUUCCCUGCUUGUUCCGCCACCACGAAGUUUUGUGGCACCACCAACAACUGUCCCCUUCUUACAUUGUCAUCGAACACCGCGUUGCCUUGGCAGUUCACUAUCCUAACUCUUCCUUGUCCUCUAAUCACGUACAAAAGGCUGUUGGCGUUGAUGUUCCAGUGUGGAGCAUAUAUGCCAUUCUGUAAAUCAUGGAAAUGUACACAUUGAUUAAAUAAUUAGUACUAUAUAUUUAAACCAAGUACAUUUUGACUUUUGCUUAAAUUUAAGACGGAGUAGUACUAUCAUACCCUGUAGAGGAGAACAUAUUCAGCACUGAGGCGUAAAUUGCGAAGGAUUGGGAGGGUUAAACUGUUAGCAUCGCUGAUGCGACCUGCACGUGGGUUGUAGAGAUCUGCACGUGCAGGGCGAGCGAUGUUCUCCACAAUCCUUAAACUGCAGAUAGUUUCUUCCAAACCAUUUUGACUAUGUCCGCUGUGUCUUGGGUCUCGUUCUCUUUCUUCCUGGCCAUGUCCGGGACGUCUUGGAUCCCAUUCUCUUUCUUUCUGACUAUGUCCGGGACGUCUUGGGUCUCGUUCUCUUUCUUCCUGGCUAUGUCUGGGAUAUCUUGUUUCCCAUUGUUCUUCCUCACUAGGUUUCUGAUGCCCUGGUCUACGAAUGUGUCUUGGUCUCCGUUCAUCUUCUUCCUCCUCGUGACUUCUUUCGUAUUCUUCAUCUUCUUGCUGCCACUCAGGGCUGAUGAUGCUGAGACCGCCCUCUACUCUCACGAUUUGGCUCCUCUGGUCGCGUGGAGAUUGAAGUCUCUUAGCUGUAUCCUGAUCCGUGUUGAGUGCCUGCGCUAAAAACUCUGAGCUGAAACCACUCAGCACACUGCUACCUUCGUUUUGUUCCUCAGAUCCCUCCUCUUGUUGUUGGCGUCCUCCUCUACGUCCGGGGAAACUGGGCCUCUGUUGCUGUCGUCCUUGUUGUCGCUCUUGAGUUUCAGGGAACUCGACCUCUGGGUUUCCGCCAAGGUAAAAUACCUGCCAACACAAUUUACAUGUGAUUAAUUGAGUUGAAAAAUUUAUAAACAUUAGUAAACUGUAUAAAGGUUUUAUAAGUCUCUGCAACAGCAUCAUAAAAGUAAAAUCUAUAACACAUAAUUUAAUGUAUAGUUAUACUUAUACUUACUCUGGGGGUUGAAUCGAGCUGGUUUACAAAGUUGGAGGUGUCAAGAAGACUAAUGGCAACAAGAGGUUCUUGACCAUGGUUAUAGGUCCAGUAAGGAGUUCCAGCUGGAAUGGCAAUGAC
rnacentral:lncRNA from 1 species